UACGAAGGGGGCUAGCGUUGUUCGGAAUUACUGGGCGUAAAGCGUGCGCAGGCGGCUUCUCAAGUCAGGGGUGAAAGCCCAGAGCUUAACUCUGGAAUUGCCUUUGAGACUGAGAGGCUUGAGUACGGGAGAGGUGAGUGGAAUUCCCAGUGUAGAGGUGAAAUUCGUAGAUAUUGGGAAGAACACCAGUGGCGAAGGCGGCUCACUGGCCCGGUACUGACGCUGAGGUGCGAAAGCGUGGGGAGCAAACAGG
rnacentral:rRNA from 1 species